GACGAACGCUGGCGGCGUGCUUAACACAUGCAAGUCCAACGGAAAGGCCCUGCUUUUGUGGGGUGCUCCAGUGGCCAACGGGUGAGUAACACCUGAGUAACCUGCCCUUGACUUUGGGAUAACUUCCGGAAACUGGGGCUAAUACCGGAUAGGAGCUCCUGCUGCAUGGUGGGGGUUGGAAAGUUUCGGCGGUUGGGGAUGGACUCGCGGCUUAUCAGCUUGUUGGUGGGGUAGUGGCUUACCAAGGCUUUGACGGGUAGCCGGCCUGAGAGGGUGACCGGCCACAUUGGGACUGAGAUACGGCCCAGACUCCUACGGGAGGCAGCAGUGGGGAAUAUUGCACAAUGGGCGGAAGCCUGAUGCAGCAACGCCGCGUGCGGGAUGACGGCCUUCGGGUUGUAAACCGCUUUCGCCUGUGACGAAGCGUGAGUGACGGUAAUGAGUAAAGAAGCACCGGCUAACUACGUGCCAGCAGCCGCGGUGAUACGUAGGGUGCGAGCGUUGUCCGGAUUUAUUGGGCGUAAAGGGCUCGUAGGUGGUUGAUCGCGUCGGAAGUGUAAUCUUGGGGCUUAACCCUGAGCGUGCUUUCGAUACGGGUUGACUUGAGGAAGGUAGGGGAGAAUGGAAUUCCUGGUGGAGCGGUGGAAUGCGCAGAUAUCAGGAGGAACACCAGUGGCGAAGGCGGUUCUCUGGGCCUUUCCUGACGCUGAGGAGCGAAAGCGUGGGGAGCGAACAGGCUUAGAUACCCUGGUAGUCCACGCUGUAAACGGUGGGUACUAGGUGUGGGGUCCAUUCCACGGGUUCCGUGCCGUAGCUAACGCUUUAAGUACCCCGCCUGGGGAGUACGGCCGCAAGGCUAAAACUCAAAGGAAUUGACGGGGCCCCGCACAAGCGGCGGAGCAUGCGGAUUAAUUCGAUGCAACGCGUAGAACCUUACCUGGGUUUGACAUGGAUCGGGAGUGCUCAGAGAUGGGUGUGCCUCUUUUGGGGUCGGUUCACAGGUGGUGCAUGGCUGUCGUCAGCUCGUGUCGUGAGAUGUUGGGUUAAGUCCCGCAACGAGCGCAACCCUUGUUCACUGUUGCCAGCACGUUAUGGUGGGGACUCAGUGGAGACCGCCGGGGUCAACUCGGAGGAAGGUGGGGAUGACGUCAAGUCAUCAUGCCCCUUAUGUCCAGGGCUUCACGCAUGCUACAAUGGCUGGUACAGAGAGUGGCGAGCCUGUGAGGGUGAGCGAAUCUCGGAAAGCCGGUCUCAGUUCGGAUUGGGGUCUGCAACUCGACCUCAUGAAGUCGGAGUCGCUAGUAAUCGCAGAUCAGCAACGCUGCGGUGAAUACGUUUCCGGG
rnacentral:rRNA from 1 species